GACGAACGCUGGCGGCGUGCUUAACACAUGCAAGUCGAACGGAAAGGCCCUGCUUUUGUGGUGUGCUCGAGUGGCGAACGGGUGAGUAACACGUGAGUAACCUGCCCUUGACUUUGGGAUAACUACAGGAAACUGGGGCUAAUACCGGAUAGGAGCUCCCGCUGCAUGGUGGGGGUUGGAAAGUUUCGGCGGUUGGGGAUGGACUCGCGGCUUAUCAGCUUGUUGGUGGGGUAGUGGCUUACCAAGGCUUUGACGGGUAGCCGGCCUGAGAGGGUGACCGGCCACAUUGGGACUGAGAGACGGCCCAGACUCCUACGGGAGGCAGCAGGGGGGAAUAUUGCACAAUGGGCGGAAGCCUGAUGCAGCAACGCCGCGUGAGGGAUGACGGCCUUCGGGUUGUAAACCGCUUUCGGCUGUGACGAAGCGUGAGUGACGGUAAUGGGUAAAGAAGCACCGGCUAACUACGUG
rnacentral:rRNA from 1 species